GAGAGCAAAGUGAGUUCUAGCUGAUCCCUAGAGCACAAAUGGAUAGUAAUCCCAUCUAGUAAUUCCAGCAGCCAAAGCCACUGUGCUAUGAGGGACCCAAGCUGGCCUAUAUAGGAAGUCAAAGAGAGAGGCUGCCUGAAGAGACAAAAGAGAUCUGCUCUGGCAGCCCCCACCUUUCAGCUCCCCACUGUUCUAGCUCCAGCUUUUGUCUCCCUGGGGCUAUGGGGCCCUGGGCAGAUUUACCUGAGUCAUCCUGGACCUCGACCUUCACACCCCAACACUGCUUAUAAGUCCAACAAUCAAUUGCUUAAGAUAGUCACACUUCAUUAUGACAGAAGCUCUGUGUCACAUGAUUCUGCCCAGCUAUUGGCUAGCAAAACUGUUCUGAGAGUGUUUGAACAGGCAAGAUGAAGCCAAGAUGUGCAUUUGGCUAAGCAUACUAAACAUAUUUUCUUUUCAAGUAAACCAUAACCAUUCCUAACAAUGACCUUUGAAGUCUCCAAAAAGAUGAUGGAGCCUCACAAGGAUUUCACUUGGAUCAUGGUAAUGGCACUAAGCUGGCAAAUACCACCAAAGAUCAGCUUUGGACUACAAACUGCUCAGGACAACUUCCAAGCAGUUAGCUAAGGAGGUGCAGCCUCAUAGACUACUCUAGCCAGGACUUCAGGCAACAUCAGCAACGGAUCCUGUAAUCUCCUAAGAAGUGCUCUGAAUGCAAACGCUGUCAUGUGACUGUAUAUUCAGUGCUUACAUUAGAAUUUCUGUUUUAAACCUUAGUUGGUGACUCUGGAUUUUCCAGUGUUCUUCUUUUACAAAGAUUUAAAUAUGGAAGCAUAGCCAACAGAGGAAAGCCAUCCUGCUUGCUAAUGCCAUGGAGAUAUUUUUACAGACGUAGUCUUUUUUAAUGAUUGACUUGAAUCCAUUUCUUUUAAGAUAAGCAAUUUUUGCAUUGAAGGUAAGUCUUUUCCUCUCUUUGUUUUUGUUCUGUCAGAACAAGAUGUUUAAAAACCAUCUGAGAAACUGAAGUCCAUUCUCUCUUCUUCUUAUGUUUGGAACAAAAAAAGAAAGGCACUGUUGUCCUUCCCGGGUUGCCCUGCUCCAACUCACUUUUUGUCUGGUGUGAUCACGGGGCCACUCCAGCACCAGGGAAAAGCUGCAGUGUAAACACAGAUCAAAAGGCUAGAAUCCCAGGGUGGCCAGCACAUGGCUGUGGUUGCUGCCAUGCACAGGGCUGUUCUCCACAGGGCUUAAUCCCUGGACAUCAUCAGAUCCAGAGGACCAGGAAGUCUGCCGUGAGAUUGUGCCUCCUAGAAAUGAUGGGGAAGCUUCCCUGGUGAUACCUCAACAAUAUGGCUGCAUAAACAAGACUUGAAGAAUAAUACUAUCAACAUACAGGCUAACUGCAAGGGAGAAAUCUCACAGUGUCUCACCCCUAGACAAAGAACUAUAGGCAGCAGCAAAGGACUGGAGAGAGGGAGAAUUAGCCUCUCCCUGGGACAAGCUCCCUAAACAGGUUAUCCACA